rnacentral:rRNA from 1 species
UACGUAGGCAGCAAGCGUUGUUCGGAAUUACUGGGCGUAAAGAGUGUGUAGGCGGUGCUCUAAGUUCGGUGUGAAAUCUCCUGGCUCAACUGGGAGGGUGCGCCGGAAACUGGGGUGCUGGAGCGCGGGAGAGGAAAGCGGAAUUCCUGGUGUAGCGGUGAAAUGCGUAGAUAUCAGGAGGAACACCUGUGGCGAAAGCGGCUCACUGGACCACAACUGACGCUGAUGCGCGAAAGCUAGGGGAGCAAACAGG